rnacentral:rRNA from 1 species
UACGGAGGGUGCAAGCGUUAUCCGGAUUCACUGGGUUUAAAGGGUGCGUAGGUGGGUUGGUAAGUCAGUGGUGAAAUCUCCAGGCUUAACUUGGAAACUGCCAUUGAUACUAUUAAUCUUGAAUGCCGUGGAGGUCAGCGGAAUAUGUCAUGUAGCGGUGAAAUGCUUAGAUAUGACAUAGGACACCAAUUGCGAAGGCAGCUGGCUACACGAAUAUUGACACUGAUGCACGAAAGCGUGGGGAUCAAACAGG